UCUGUCUGUCUUCUGCACAUCAAACAGUGUCCUUAUAUACUGUUGUCCCCACCUUCUCUAUUAACUGCCCAGCCAAUCAAACUCCAGCAAACAUGGCCAUUUCUAUAAAAGAGCUGGGUUUGAGGCGGGCCUCCUCUUUGGUAGGUUCCAAGAUGGCCGCUACAAGGACACACCCAAAAGGUAACAAACAUUUCACAAACAAAAGGAUCACAU